rnacentral:tRNA from 1 species
GCCGCUAUAGCUCAGGGGUAGAGCACUUCCAUGGUAAGGAAGGGGUCCUCGGUUCAAUUCCGAGUAGCGGCU